CAGGGAUGUCCAUGUGCGUCGUCAGGGCCUCCUGGUCAAGAUGGACAGCCCGGAACGACUAACCCUCCCCACCGGACGGUCCUUGCAGCAUAGAUGGCCCGGACCAGCUCCCCCUUCCUUCCCACCGAGGGGAUAGCCUCCAUUCAUAUAACAGAACCUGAGGAGCCUCACAACAGUCAAAUCUAAAAGUUUCCUUAGGAGACGAGAUCUACCAUGACAAUUAUCUGGAUGGCUCAGCUGCGGAGGGGAGCGAUUGAUAGAAACAGCAAAGCAGGGGAGGCAGCAAG